AUGAACCAGGUAUAUUUACCCUCACGCAGUUCUAGUCAGACUGCUAAUUUGGUGCCGAAUGUUGCAGUGACUAAUUUGUUUUACUUUCUACACUUUCAGACAGAGUGGAGGAAACAAAGCAGUUGUGCCAUUAACCAGGGAGUACAGAGCAGCUGGGUCAUAAAAAUUUAGGACAGGGUCUGCUCCUCUGAACGUGCAGUGCAAAACAAGAUGCCAUCAUAG
rnacentral:rRNA from 1 species